rnacentral:lncRNA from 1 species
UGGUAACAUCUACAACCAUGGGUGUUUGAGUGUUUGAGGUUUGGGGGUUAGAAGCAGCUUCCAUUUGUUGGGAGAAGUUAAAAACAGCUUGUUCUUGAGGAUUCAUGACGAAGAUUGAUGAAGAAGAUGAAGAACUGAGAAGGUUGCAGAGAAAACUUCGAGAGAGGGUUUAGGGUUUAAGAGUGAGUGAGAGUGAUAAGUGUGUGAAAUGUGAGAAAAGUG